rnacentral:rRNA from 1 species
AUUGAACGCUGGCGGCAGGCCUAACACAUGCAAGUCGAACGAGUGGCGGACGGGUGAGUAAUGUCUGGGAAACUGCCUGAUGGAGGGGGAUAACUACUGGAAACGGUAGCUAAUACCGCAUACCAUCGGAUGUGCCCAGAUGGGAUUAGCUAGUAGGUGGGGUAAAGGCUCACCUAGGCGACGAUCCCUAGCUGGUCUGAGAGGAUGACCAGCAACACUGGAACGGGGACACGGCCCAGACCCCAGCGGGAGGCGUCAGUGGGGAAUUUUGCAAAAGGGGCGCAAGCCUGAUGCAGCCAUGCCGCGUGUAUGAAGAAGGCCUUCGGGUUGAAAAGACCUUUCAGCGAGGAGGCGUUACUCGCAGAAGAAGCACCGGCUAACUCCGUGCCAGCAGCCGCGGUAAUUC